UACGUAGGUGGCAAGCGUUGUCCGGAUUUACUGGGCGUAAAGAGCGCGCAGGCGGUCGUUCAAGUCGCGUGUGAAAGCCCCCGGCUCAACUGGGGAGGGUCACGCGAUACUGAUCGACUGGAAGGCAGGAGAGGGUAGUGGAAUUCCAGGUGUAGCGGUGAAAUGCGUAGAUAUCUGGAGGAACACCGGUGGCGAAGGCGGCAUUCUGGACUGCAACUGACACUGAAAAACGAAAGCCAGGGGAGCAAACGGG
rnacentral:rRNA from 1 species